CAAGAGCGUAUGUAAAAGUUGUUGCAGUUAAAAAGCUCGUAGUUGAACCUUGGGUUUGGUUGGCCGGUCCGCUUUUUUGCGAGUACUGGAUUCAACCGAGCCUUUCCUUCUGGCUAACCAGUCGUUUCGGCGGCUGGCGAACCAGGAUUUUUACUUUGAGAAAAUCAGAGUGUUCAAAGCAGGCAUUAGCUUGAAUAUAUUAGCAUGGAAUAAUAGAAUAGGACGUUAUGGUUCUAUUUUGUUGGUUUCUAGGACCAUCGUAAUGAUUAAUAGGGACGGUCGGGGGCAUCAGUAUUCAGUUGUCAGAGGUGAAAUUCUUGGAUUACUGAAGACUAACUACUGCGAAAGCAUUUGCCAAGGACGUUUUCAUUAA
rnacentral:rRNA from 1 species